rnacentral:rRNA from 1 species
CCUACGGGAGGCAGCAGUAGGGAAUCUUUCACAAUGGGCGAAAGCCUGAUGGAGCAACGCCGCGUGCAGGAUGAAGGCCUUCGGGUUGUAAACUGCUUUUAUAAGCGGGAAAUAUGAUGGUAACUUAUGAAUAAGGAUCGGCUAACUACGUGCCAGCAGCCGCGGUCAUACGUAGGAUCCGAGCAUUAUCCGGAGUGACUGGGUGUAAAGAGUUGCGUAGGUGGCAUAAUAAGUAGCUAGUGAAAUCUGGUGGCUCAACCAUUCAGACUAUUAGCUAAACUGUUAAGCUCGAGACCGUUAGGGGUAACUGGAAUUUCUAGUGUAGGAGUGAAAUGCGUAGAUAUUAGAAGGAACACCAAUAGCGUAGGCAGGUUACUGGGACGGUUCUGACACUAAGGCACGAAAGCGUAGGGAGCAAACGGGAUUAGAUACCCGAGUAGUC